rnacentral:rRNA from 1 species
UACGAAGGGGGCUAGCGUUGCUCGGAAUCACUGGGCGUAAAGGGUGCGUAGGCGGAUCUUUAAGUCAGGGGUGAAAUCCUGGAGCUCAACUCCAGAACUGCCUUUGAUACUGAGGAUCUUGAGUUCGGGAGAGGUGAGUGGAACUGCGAGUGUAGAGGUGAAAUUCGUAGAUAUUCGCAAGAACACCAGUGGCGAAGGCGGCUCACUGGCCCGAUACUGACGCUGAGGCACGAAAGCGUGGGGAGCAAACAGG